UCCAAAAAUUUCCCAUCUUACUCUUGGGGAGAUUCGAACUCACAACCUCUCGGUUGGAAGUGGGGGUUACUUACCAUCAGAGCAACCCCUCUUGUCAUAACUUCUAGAAGAUAUCUGGGAAUAUAUAGGGUCAAUCUGAUUGUGAUCUUUAUAUAUUUUGUAGCUCUGAAUGUCUACUUUGUGCCGCCACAAACUGCUCGUAAUUUCAAUAUUGCUACACCAAGAUAUGAGUCUUUUGGUGAAGGCAUGCAAAGCUGUAAAUUUGAGCCCGACAGCAUCUGAAACGAAAUUUCAAAAUAAUACAUGAGAAGCUACCGAAGGAAUUUUGCCCCAAAUUUUUUGAUAUAUUGAAGUACAUAAAGUGUAGUGUUAAAAGACUCAGGCAGCUUGUGUUUUCGGUGUUCCUACAACGACAUAUGAUGGCUUUCUCUACAUAUGCCUAAAGAUGACUACCCCGGAGAGAUUUUGCAACAAAAGAGAAACAAUUUUGGAGGCCUCGGUGGCAACGGAACGAAGUUUUUGGUUCUGUCUACUCGAUUGGUGCCAAUGACAUAAAGCUUUGAUUCAGCAGCAGGUACCGAUGUCAAUAACAUAAGGCUUAAACUUAUCACGAAAUAUAAAUAUACUCGCGACUUGAAGUUUAGAUUAGUGUGACAGGUAACAGUGUCAAUGACAAGAAGCUUGAAAAUAUGGCCAAGUUUAAUAUCAAAACAACCAUCUAAAUUGCUGAAGGUUUGCAUAUUCAAACUUUCUUUCUAGGUGAUGUUAAUUCUUGUAAAAGGAAAAAAGAAACCAUGAGAAGGAAUAUAGAAAAAAUGUGAGAGAAGGAAUUACAAAUGGGAAGAGCUUUGUGUAUCUUCUCUCAUGGUUAGCCGAACUUCUCAAGUUGUAAGUUUG
rnacentral:lncRNA from 1 species